GCCGAGUGGCGCAGCCGGUUAAGCCUCUGUCUCAAGAGAAAAAGGUCAGGGGUUCGAAUCCACUUGGCA